UUUCCUCUUUAGGCGUUUUUGCACAGAAUCAGAAAAAAUGCAGAUGACCAACAGUGUCUCUCACCUGAACAUGUCAAGAUUCUGUUUUUCAAACAUUGAGGACAUGCCUGGAGUUGCACAAGAAGGUGUUGUCCGCCAUUUGAGGCCAGUCUGCAGCCCGAACCUCAGCCCGCAUCAUGCACUGGGGAAUUGGGACACGUGUUCCUGAGAGUUUAGGAAGAGUUUCUCAGUGUACGGCGAGUACUGCAGUAACCACGAGAAGGCUUUGCGACUCCUCAUGGAGCUCAACAAAAUCCCCAACAUCAGGACCUUCC